AUUGAACGCUGGCGGCAUGCCUUACACAUGCAAGUCGAACGGCAGCACGGGAGCAAUCCUGGUGGCGAGUGGCGAACGGGUGAGUAAUAUAUCGGAACGUGCCCAGUCGUGGGGAUAACGUAGCGAAAGCUACGCUAAUACCGCAUACGAUCUAUGGAUGAAAGCGGGGGAUCGCAAGACCUCGCGCGAUUGGAGCGGCCGAUAUCAGAUUAGGUAGUUGGUGAGGUAAAGGCUCACCAAGCCGACGAUCUGUAGCUGGUCUGAGAGGACGACCAGCCACACUGGGACUGAGACACGGCCCAGACUCCUACGGGAGCAGCAGUGGGGAAUUUUUGGACAAUGGCGCAAGCCUGAUCCAGCAAUGCCGCGUGCAGGAUGUAGG
rnacentral:rRNA from 1 species